rnacentral:pre_miRNA from 1 species
CUGGUUUUCAUAGUGGUUUCGUAAAUAUUUUAAUUGUGAGAUCACUGUGAAAACUAAUU